UGUCAGAAAAGUUACCACAGG
rnacentral:snRNA from 1 species